rnacentral:rRNA from 1 species
UGGGGAAUAUUGCACAAUGGGCGCAAGCCUGAUGCAGCCAUGCCGCGUGUGUGAAGAAGGCCUUCGGGUUGUAAAGCACUUUCAGCGGGGAGGAAGGCGUUAAGGUUAAUAACCUUGGCGAUUGACGUUACCCGCAGAAGAAGCACCGGCUAACUCCGUGCCAGCAGCCGCGGUAAUACGGAGGGUGCAAGCGUUAAUCGGAAUUACUGGGCGUAAAGCGCACGCAGGCGGUCUGUCAAGUCGGAUGUGAAAUCCCCGGGCUCAACCUGGGAACUGCAUUCGAAACUGGCAGGCUAGAGUCUUGUAGAGGGGGGUAGAAUUCCAGGUGUAGCGGUGAAAUGCGUAGAGAUCUGGAGGAAUGCCGGUGGCGAAGGCGGCCCCCUGGACAAAGACUGACGCUCAGGUGCGAAAGCGUGGGGAGCAAACAGG